UCAAGCAUCACACUUGGAACUGCAAGAACACAGAUUCCAGAAGGCUGUGAAGCCCUUGUACACCAAGACAAGCUAACUUGGUUGUGGGGUGGCUCCAUCAUUGUCCCUUUGGACGCUACCCCACAUAGCCCUGCAGCUGCAGUGUGCAGGCUGACCACCUCUGAAUCCAAUAAUCAGAUCGCCAGGCAAUGGAGCUGAGGAAACCUUUUGAAAGGGGGCUGUGACAUUAUUACUAGCAGGUUUGUGACACAGAAAGGUUGUUCUCAUCAAGAUGUGUCAGAUGGACUGGAGAAGGAAAAGGCAUGACAAAAGACCGGUGUAUGCAGAAGGUGUGAGAAAUGAACAGAUGAGAAAUACUAUGAUCAUACAGCAGAGAGGGUUACACAAGGAAAGGCAAGAAUUCUAGAGAAAACAUUUCAUCACUCUUAAACAGAAACACAAAAGGAGAAUUUGCUUAUCUUCCUCUAGAGGCUGAGGUAUCUGAAUAUGAUCACUCUAGUUGCAAGUGAAAUCUAACUACACAUGAGGGGAGACAACAGACACCAGACUUGUCACAUCAGGCAGAGUCAAGAGAAGCACCUCAACUUCUCCUUACCUGAGGAAGUCCUGUGCAUUAUGACAAAACCAAAAGAUGAAGAUCCCCUGCUUGCUGGAUCACUAGGUACAGAUACUCUUGCUGAGGUCACCUGAUGUUCCACAGCCACUGCACACCCAGGAAAUAAACAUUCAUUAAGCCACUGAGACAUGGGGACUGUUUGCUAUCACUGCAUAACUUUCUUCUCUUUUUACAAGGAAAAUGACUAGAAAGCUAGGAGAGUGACAAGAGAGCAGCAAAACUGAGGGGAGGUUUGUGUUUUUAGUUUUUGAUUUUUCAGAUGUCUAUGGUGAGGGAGACCCAUGCACAUUUGUUGGGAAAGUAGAAAGAGCCAGUAGAGAGGAAGCAGCUGGAACUCACAGAGCAAUGUUGUAAAGAAAGCAGAAAACAUGGUAAUACAUGGGCCAAGAGGGAAGUCUCUGCCCUUUCUCUUCCAAGAGAAGGAUGAAAAAUCCAGACCCUGGAUGGGGAUCCGGUAGUUGCAGCUGGAGAGGCAAGUUGAGAAAACCCACCCUCAUCAGCCUGUGCACUUGACUUCUGAGUGAGACAAGCAGAGGCUGGAAUUUGGAAUCCUGGCUGUGGAGCAAUUUCAAGAGAUGACGAGCGUCUACGACUGAAAUAACCAUGCAUGGGAUGAUCGCCUUUGUGUAUCAGCCUGCUGGCAGCUGUCCAUGGAGGAUGACUGGCAAGGACUGGCACAGACUGCAUUUCAUUCCUCUGGUUUAAAUUCUAUAGGCAUUUCUUAAACAGAAACAUCAUUAUUUUAAAAGUCAUGCCCAGAAAGAGUUAAAACUAUUCCUUUUCCAAGUUCUGGUCCCCCACCCCCACUGUUUCCCCAUGUCCUUUAACUAAAUUAGCUAUUCCACUGACAAGCCAGUGCUGGUCUCCUCACACAACAACACAUGCUGUGCUUUCUUUGUAGUGCACUCAUGAUGAACUUUGAGCCACACAUCUGCCAAAGAGAAGGAACUCUUAUUCCCAAAUGGCUGACAUUAGCUGAGGAUUCUGGGUUCACCUCUCUCUACCAUGGCAUAUUUUUCUUAGACAGACUCUUGGAGAAUCAGAGGAAUAGAUUUAGUUAUUUUGUCUUAAUUUCAUUACGCUGCAUCCUCAACUACUCUUUUUUCCAUCCCCUUGAUGUUAUUCUAAGGGAUAAAA